UAUAAAAUAACAUAGUAAUGGUUUUAGUGAUGAUAUUGUGAUAUAU
rnacentral:guide_RNA from 1 species